rnacentral:tRNA from 1 species
UCCCACAUAGCUCAGUAGGUAAAGCAUCUGCCUUCAACGCGGGAGACCUGGGUUCAAUUCCUGGAUCGGGAA